UGAUGCAGUGUCCUUGCCAAAGCUGAC
rnacentral:piRNA from 1 species